CUGUCAUGAACACAUGACACUGUCGUGACACAGUCAUGGCACAUGAACCCUAAGCCUAACGCUAACCCUGA